UACAGAGGUCCCAAGCGUUACUGAGAAUCACUGGGUUUAAAGGGUGCGUAGGUGGUCCGUUAAGCCAGAUGUGAAAUCCCCGGGCUCAACCUGGGAACUGCGUUUGGAACUGGCAAGCUAGAGUGUGUUAGAGGGGGGUAGAAUUCCACGUGUAGCAGUGAAAUGCGUAGAGAUGUGGAGGAAUACCGAUGGCGAAGGCAGCCCCCUGGGAUAACACUGACGCUCAUGCUCGAAAGCGUGGGUAGCAAACAGG
rnacentral:rRNA from 1 species